AAGAGCUUGCUCUUAUGAAGUUAGCGGCGGACGGGUGAGUAACACGUGGGUAACCUGCCCAUAAGACUGGGAUAACUCCGGGAAACCGGGGCUAAUACCGGAUAACAUUUUGCACUGCAUGGUGCGAAAUUGAAAGGCGGCUUCGGCUGUCACUUAUGGAUGGACCCGCGUCGCAUUAGCUAGUUGGUGAGGUAACGGCUCACCAAGGCAACGAUGCGUAGCCGACCUGAGAGGGUGAUCGGCCACACUGGGACUGAGACACGGCCCAGACUCCUACGGGAGGCAGCAGUAGGGAAUCUUCCGCAAUGGACGAAAGUCUGACGGAGCAACGCCGCGUGAGUGAUGAAGGCUUUCGGGUCGUAAAACUCUGUUGUUAGGGAAGAACAAGUGCUAGUUGAAUAAGCUGGCACCUUGACGGUACCUAACCAGAAAGCCACGGCUAACUACGUGCCAGCAGCCGCGGUAAUACGUAGGUGGCAAGCGUUAUCCGGAAUUAUUGGGCGUAAAGCGCGCGCAGGUGGUUUCUUAAGUCUGAUGUGAAAGCCCACGGCUCAACCGUGGAGGGUCAUUGGAAACUGGGAGACUUGAGUGCAGAAGAGGAAAGUGGAAUUCCAUGUGUAGCGGUGAAAUGCGUAGAGAUA
rnacentral:rRNA from 1 species